rnacentral:rRNA from 1 species
UUCCGGUUGAUCCUGCCGGACCUUACUGCUAUCGGGGUGGGACUAAGACAUGCGAGUCGAGCGUCUCUAGCUAUGUUGAGACGCGGCAGACGGCUCAGUAACACGUGGCUAACCUACCCUCAGGACGAGGAUAAACCCGGGAAACUGGGGCUAAUACUCGAUAGGUGAGAAUGUCUGGAAUGAUUUCUCAUUCAAAGGGCUUUAGAAACAUGCUUCUAAAGUCGCCUGGGGAUGGGGCCGCGUCCGAUCAGGUUGUUGGUGAGGUAACGGCUCACCAAGCCUAUAACCGGUACGGGCCGUGAGAGCGGUAGCCCGGAGAUGGGUACUGAGACAAGGACCCAGGCCCUACGGGGCGCAGCAGUCGCGAAAACUCCGCAAUGCACGAAAGUGUGACGGGGCUACCCCGAGUGCCAUCCGCUGAGGAUGGCUUUUCUUUGGUGUAACUAGCCGGGGGAAUAAGGAGAGGGCAAGACUGGUGUCAGCCGCCGCGGUAAUACCAGCUCUCCGAGUGGUACGGAUGAUUAUUGGGCUUAAAGCGUCCGUAGCCGGCUUAGCAAGUCUCCUGUUAAAUUCAGCGACCUAAUCGUUGAGCCGCGGGAGAUACUACUAGGCUAGGAGGCGGGAGAGGUCGACGGUACUUCUGGGGUAGGGGUGAAAUCCUAUAAUCCCGGGAGGACCACCAGUGGCGAAGGCUGUUGACUAGAACGCGCUCGACGGUGAGGGACGAAAGCUGGGGGAGCGAACCGGAUUAGAUACCCGGGUAGUCCCAGCCGUAAACGAUGCGGGCUAGGUGUUGGGGUGGCUACGUGCCACUUCAGUGCCGCAGGGAAGCCAUUAAGCCCGCCGCCUGGGGAGUACGGCCGCAAGGCUGAAACUUAAGGAUUGGCAGGGAGCACCACAGGCGUGAGCUGCGUCAUGAUCACGCGGU